CAGGCCUAACACAUGCAAGUCGAACGGAUCUCUUUCGGGAUUAGUGGCGGACGGGUGAGUAACACGUGGGAACGUGCCUUUUGGUUCGGAACAACUCAGGGAAACUUGAGCUAAUACCGGAUAAGCCUUUCGAGGGAAAGAUUUAUCGCCAUUAGAGCGGCCCGCGUAGGAUUAGCUAGUUGGUGAGGUAAAGGCUCACCAAGGCUACGAUCCUUAGCUGGUCUGAGAGGAUGAUCAGCCACAUUGGGACUGAGACACGGCCCAAACUCCUACGGGAGGCAGCAGUGGGGAAUCUUGCGCAAUGGGCGAAAGCCUGACGCAGCCAUGCCGCGUGAAUGAUGAAGGUCUUAGGAUUGUAAAAUUCUUUCACCGAGGACGUAAUGACGGUACUCGGAGAAGAAGCCCCGGCUAACUUCGUGCCAGCAGCCGCGGUAAUACGAAGGGGGCUAGCGUUGCUCGGAAUUACUGGGCGUAAAGGGAGCGUAGGCGGAUAGUUUAGUCAGAGGUGAAAGCCCAGGGCUCAACCUUGGAAUUGCCUUUGAUACUGGCUAUCUUGAGUACGGAAGAGGUAUGUGGAACUCCGAGUGUAGAGGUGAAAUUCGUAGAUAUUCGGAAGAACACCAGUGGCGAAGGCGACAUACUGGUCCGUUUACUGACGCUGAGGCUCGAAAGCGUGGGGAGCAAACAGGAUUAGAUACCCUGGUAGUCCACGCUGUAAACGAUGAGUGCUAGUUGUCGGCAUGCAUGCAUGUCGGUGACGCAGCUAACGCAUUAAAGCACUCCGCCUGGGGAGUACGGUCGCAAGAUUAAAACUCAAAGGAAUUGACGG
rnacentral:rRNA from 1 species